AUGCAAAGCAACCAGUGGCAGCAAACAGCAAACAACAUCAGCAGCCAGAAACAUGCAGAGGCGAUUUCUCACCAUGUUGUUAGUGGCAAGGUCGGACGGAGCAGAGCAACGAGCUCGGACAGCGACAAUGACGGUCAACGUCAGGGAAGAAGUAGGAGGGACCCGCGGCUUCGAGUCCAUGGUCCAGAGGAGAUGCGGAUAACACGGAGCCCGUCACGGUCCCUGGAGUUGUUUGGUGAGGAGGAUAACCGCGGCGCCGCAGUGGCGGCCGACGGAACCGACGAAGAUGGCCUCGGUCCAAGAGGCUGCUGCACGUCGGUGCCCGGAAUCACCAUUAAAGGAACAGCAGGAGUAACAAUGGAGCUAGGGGAACUACCUAGGAGCAAGAACGCACCGGAAAACAAGGUGGUUCACGGCGGCGUCCAGCGGGCGUGCAUGUCAGAGCCGGAGGCAUGGACGUCGAUCCGAACUGAGGGCUAG
rnacentral:rRNA from 1 species